rnacentral:rRNA from 1 species
GACGAACGCUGGCGGCGUGCCUAAUACAUGCAAGUCGAACGCUGAAGGAGGAGCUUGCUUCUCUGGAUGAGUUGCGAACGGGUGAGUAACGCGUAGGUAACCUGCCUGGUAGCGGGGGAUAACUAUUGGAAACGAUAGCUAAUACCGCAUAAUAGUAGAUGUUGCAUGACAUUUGCUUAAAAGGUGCAAUUGCAUCACUACCAGAUGGACCUGCGUUGUAUUAGCUAGUUGGUGGGGUAACGGCUCACCAAGGCGACGAUACAUAGCCGACCUGGGAGGGGGGUCGGCCACACUGGGAAUGGGACCAGGCCCAGACUCCUACGGGGGGCAGCAGGAGGGGAUCUUCGGCAAUGGACGGAAGUCUGACCGGGCAACGCCGCGGGAGUGAAGAAGGUUGUCGGAUCGUAAAGAUCUGUUGUAAGAGAAGAACGAGUGUGAGAGUGGAAAGUUCACACUGUGACGGUAUCUUAACAGAAAGGGACGGCUAACUACGUG